rnacentral:rRNA from 1 species
GAUGAACGCUGGCGGCGUGCCUAAUACAUGCAAGUCGAGCGAACGGACGAGAAGCUUGCUUUUCUGAUGUUAGCGGCGGACGGGUGAGUAACACGUGGAUAACCUACCUAUAAGACUGGGAUAACUUCGGGAAACCGGAGCUAAUACCGGAUAAUAUUUUGAACCGCAUGGUUCAAAAGUGAAAGACGGUCUUGCUGUCACUUAUAGAUGGAUCCGCUCUUCAUUAGCUAUUUGGUAAGGUAACGGCUUACCAAGGCAACGAUGCAUAGCCGACCUGAGAGGGUGAUCGGCAACACUGGAACUGAGACACGGUCCAGACUCCUACGGGAGGAAGCAGUAGGGAAUCUUCCGCAAUGGGCGAAAGCCUGACGGAGCAACGCCGCGUGAGUGAUGAAGGUCUUCGGAUCGUAAAACUCUGUUAUUAGGGAAGAACAUAUGUGUAAGUAACUGUGCACAUCUUGACGGUACCUAAUCAGAAAGCCACGGCUAACUACGUG